rnacentral:rRNA from 1 species
GACAGCAGUCGCCGCGGUAAUACGGAGGGUGCAAGCGUUAAUCGGAAUUACUGGGCGUAAAGCGCACGCAGGCGGUCUGACAAGUCAGAUGUGAAAUCCCCGGGCUUAACCUGGGAACUGCAUUUGAAACUGUCAGGCUGGAGUCUUGUAGAGGGGGGUGGAAUUCCAGGUGUAGCGGUGAAAUGCGUAGAGAUCUGGAGGAAUACCGGUGGCGAAGGCGGCCCCCUGGACAAAGACUGACGCUCAGGUGCGAAAGCGUGGGGAGCAAACAGGAUUAGAUACCCCUGUAGUCCCUGUCUCUUAUAA